GAUGAAGAACGCAGCGAAAUGCGAUAAGUAAUGUGAAUUGCAGACUUUAGUGAAUCAUCGAAUCUUUGAACGCACAUUGCGCCCGCUAGUAUUCUGGCGGGCAUGCCUGUUCGAGCGUCAUUUCAACCCUCAAGCCCAGCUUGGUGUUGGGGGCCGGCCGCGACUUAACCGCCGCGGCCGCCCCCGAAAUACAGUGGCGGUCUCGCUGCAGCCUCCCUUGCGUAGUAGCACACCUCGCACCGGAGCGCGGCGCGGCCACGCCGUUAAACCCCCAAACUUCUGAAUGUUGACCUCGGAUCAGGUAGGAAUACCCGCUGAACUUAAGCAUAUCAAUAAGCGGAGGA
rnacentral:misc_RNA from 1 species